GGCGAACGGGUGAGUAACACGUAGAUAACCUGCCCUUAAGACGAGGAUAACCGUUGGAAACGAUGGCUAAAACUGGAUAGGAAUAUUGGAGGCAUCUCUGAUAUUUUAAAAGACCUAGUAAUAGGUAUACUUAAGGAGGGGUCUGCGGCGCAUUAGUUAGUUGGUGAGGUGAUGGCUUACCAAGACGAUGAUGCGUAGCCGGACUGAGAGGUUGAACGGCCACAUUGGGACUGAGAAACGGCCCAAACUCC
rnacentral:rRNA from 1 species